rnacentral:siRNA from 1 species
UAUACCCUUUACUUGCUUCAAGU